CACAGAGGCCUCGAGCGUUAGGCGGAAUCACUGGGCUUAAAGCGUGUGUAGGCGGGCCCGUAAGUGUCUUGUGAAAUCCCACGGCUCAACCGUGGAACUGCUGGGCAUACUGCGGGUCUUGGGCCAACUAGGGGCAGCCGGAACAAGCGGUGGAGCGGUGAAAUGCGUAGAUAUCGCUUGGAACGCCGAAGGUGAAAACAGGCUGCUGGGGUUGCGCCGACGCUGAGACACGAAAGCCAGGGGAGCAAACGGG
rnacentral:rRNA from 1 species